rnacentral:rRNA from 1 species
GUUUGACGUCGGAUCAAGUCGGGGUACCCGCUGAAAUUCA